rnacentral:rRNA from 1 species
UACGUAGGUGGCAAGCGUUGUCCGGAUUUACUGGGCGUAAAGAGCGCGCAGGCGGUCGUUCAAGUCGCGUGUGAAAGCCCCCGGCUCAACUGGGGAGGGUCACGCGAUACUGAUCGACUCGAAGGCAGGAGAGGGGAGUGGAAUUCCCGGUGUAGUGGUGAAAUGCGUAGAUAUCGGGAGGAACAUCCGUGGCGAAGGCGGCUACCUGGACCAGCACUGACACUGAGGCACGAAAGCGUGGGGAGCAAACAGG